AACCUAGCACACCUGCGGUGUGUACCUGCGGAGGGAUCAUUACCGAGUUUACAACUCCCAAACCCCUGUGAACAUACCUAUACGUUGCCUCGGCGGAUCAGCCCGCGCCCUGUAAAAAGGGACGGCCCGCCCGAGGACCCUAAACUCUGUUUUUAGUGGAACUUCUGAGUAAAACAAACAAAUAAAUCAAAACUUUCAACAACGGAUCU
rnacentral:misc_RNA from 1 species